rnacentral:rRNA from 1 species
UGGGGAAUAUUGCACAAUGGGGGAAACCCUGAUGCAGCGACGCCGCGUGAACGAAGAAGGUAUUCGUAUCGUAAAGUUCUGUCCUAUGGGAAGAUAAUGACAGUACCAUAGAAGAAAGCUCCGGCUAAAUACGUGCCAGCAGCCGCGGUAAUACGUAUGGAGCGAGCGUUGUCCGGAAUUAUUGGGCGUAAAGGGUACGCAGGCGGUUUAAUAAGUCGAAUGUUAAAGAUCGGGGCUCAACCCCGCAAAGCAUUGGAAACUGAUAAACUUGAGUAGUGGAGAGGAAAGUGGAAUUCCUAGUGUAGUGGUGAAAUACGUAGAUAUUAGGAGGAAUACCAGUAGCGAAGGCGACUUUCUGGACACAAAAAGACGCUGAGGUACGAAAGCGUGGGGAGCAAACAGG